AACUAAUGAACUUGUUAAAGUAUAUGCCUUGAAAGCAUAAAAAAGCCGUAAAAUCAGCUAUUAGUUU
rnacentral:tRNA from 1 species